GGAUACGAGACGGAGAGGCAUCUCUACCGUCUGGAAAGUUUUUCGGUCUGGGAUGGACUCGCGGCCUAUCAGCUAGUUGGUGAGGUAAUGGCUCACCAAGGCGACGACGGGUAGCCGGCCUGAGAGGGCGACCGGCCACACUGGGACUGAGACACGGCCCAGACUCCUACGGGAGGCAGCAGUGGGGAAUAUUGCACAAUGGGCGAAAGCCUGAUGCAGCGACGCCGCGUGAGGGAUGAAGGCCUUCGGGUUGUAAACCUCUUUCAGCA
rnacentral:rRNA from 1 species